ACUGCUGUACCUUCAGGGAUUAUAUAUUGUAGUUCUUGGUUUGAGAAAUGUGAUUCUAAAGUGUUUAGUAUCGCCAUCCAUGGUGAUGAGAUUGAGUACUCCUUUCUGAGCGCGAAGCGGGCAGAGAGUGAAGAGUUUACUUUUCUGAUGUCUGGUUUUGAUGACCGUUCCUUGUUUCCCCUGGGGAUUUGGAGGAAGGGAGUAUAAUCAGAGUGGU
rnacentral:snoRNA from 1 species